UACGUAGGGUGCAAGCGUUUAAUCGGAAUUACUGGGCGUAAAGCGUGCGCAGGCGGUUUUGUAAGUCUGUCGUGAAAUCCCCGGGCUCAACCCGGGAACUGCGUCCGAUACUGGCAGGCUUGAAUCCGGGAGAGGGAUGCGGAAUUCCAGGUGUAGCGGUGAAAUGCGUAGAUAUCUGGAGGAACACCGGGUGGUGUAAACGGCUUUCUGGACCAUAACUGACGCUGAGGCACGAAAGCGUGGGUAGCAAACAGG
rnacentral:rRNA from 1 species